AUGGCGGCCACAGGCAAGUUCAACCGGAGUAACCCGGCGGUGAAGCGGAUCCUGCAGGAGGUGAAGGAGAUGCAGUCUAAUCCUUCCCCCGAUUUCAUGGCCCUGCCCCUCGAGGAGGACAUUUUUGAGUGGCAAUUUGCUAUCCUGGGGCCCCGAGACAGCGAAUUUGAGGGAGGAAUCUACCAUGGACGGAUCCAGUUGCCCUCAGACUACCCGUUCAAGCCACCAUCCUUCAUGCUGCUCACGCCAAGUGGAAGAUUCGAGAUUCAGAAGAAGAUAUGUUUGAGCAUUUCCAAUUACCACCCCGAGCACUGGCAGCCAUCGUGGAGUGUACGCACAGCACUAGUAGCAUUGAUUGCUUUCAUGCCAACAAAUCCUGGUGGCGCAUUGGGUUCACUGGACUACAAGAAGGAAGAUAGACGAGCACUCGCUAUCAAAUCACGUGAAACACCACCAAAAUUCGGCUCCCCAGAACGCCAAAGUGUAAUUGAUGAGAUCCAUGAGCAAAUGCUCAGUAAAGCUCCACCUGUUCCACAACUGCUAACUGGCUCUGAAGAGGAGACUAACAAGACCGCACCCGACACUUCUGGCGAACCUGCUGUCAAGGCAGCAGAAGGUGUCAACACUUCUGGCUCCAGCUCUGGUUCUGCGAAUACUGACCUUCCAAAGCCUGAUUCGGAGUCAGAAGUUGCAGAAAACAUUGUGGGAGCUCAGUCCGAUGUAAUCCCCAGGGAUAGCGGUCCAAGAGUUGUUGCAGCACCGCAGAACCCUGUCGUCACAAUCCAGAAGCCAAAGCAUGACAGAUUGUUGACGUUGGCUGCAUUUGGGCUGACUCUUGCUAUCAUGGCUCUUGUGAUAAAGAAGUUCUUCAAAAUCAACGGCCUGGCUGGUUACAUUGAGGGCAAGUUUUAG
rnacentral:rRNA from 1 species